ensembl:snoRNA
GAAACCAAUGAUGAGUAUUCUGGGGUGUCCAAAUCAAUGAUUUUGAUUAACCCUACAACUCUCAGGUCCAU